AAUAUUGGACAAUGGGCGAAAGCCUGAUCCAGCCAUGCCGCGUGUGUGAAGAAGGUCUUCGGAUUGUAAAGCAAUUUAUGUUGGGAGGAAGUGCAGUAAGUUAAUACCUUGCUGUUUUGACGCUAUCGACAGACAAAGCACCGGCUAACUUCUUGCCCGCCGCCGCGGUAGUACGAAGGGUGCAAGCGUUAAUCGGAAUUACUUGUCGCAAAGCGAGCGUAGGUGGUUUGUCAAGUUGGAAGUGAAAGCCCCGGGCUCAACCUGGGAACUGCUUUCAAAACUGGCAAGCUAGAGUAUGGCAGAGGGUGGUGGAAUUUCCUGUGUAGCGGUGAAAUGCGUAGAUAUAGGAAGGAACACCAGUGGCGAAGGCGACUACCUGGACUGAUACUGACACUGAGGUGCGAAAGCGUGGGGAGCAAAC
rnacentral:rRNA from 1 species